UACGGGGGAUGCGAGCGUUGUCCGGAUUCACUGGGCAUAAAGGGCGCGUAGGCGGCUUCCUAAGUCAGGGGUGAAAUCCGGCAGCUCAACUGUCGCAGUGCCUUUGAUACUGGGAAGCUCGAGGGAUGUAGGGGUAUGUGGAACUUCCGGUGGAGCGGUGAAAUGCGUUGAUAUCGGAAGGAACGCCGGUGGCGAAGGCGACGUACUGGACAUCUUCUGACGCCGAGGCGCGAAAGCCAGGGGAGCAAACGGG
rnacentral:rRNA from 1 species